rnacentral:rRNA from 1 species
UGGGGAAUAUUGGACAAUGGGCGAAAGCCUGAUCCAGCAAUGCCGCGUGUGUGAAGAAGGUCUUCGGAUUGUAAAGCACUUUCGACGGGGACGAUGAUGACGGUACCCGUAGAAGAAGCCCGGCUAACUUCGUGCAG